UCCGUAGGUGGAUCAAUCAGUCAGAGGUGAAAUCCUGCAGCUUAACUGUAGAACUGCCUUUGAUACUGUUGAUCUUGAGUCAUUAUGAAGUGGUUAGAAUGUGUAGUGUAGCGGUGAAAUGCAUAGAUACUACACAGAAUACCGAUUGCGAAGGCAGAUCACUAAUAAUGUACUGACACUGAGGGACGAAAGCGUGGGGAGCGAACAGGAUUAGAUACCCUGGUAGUCC
rnacentral:rRNA from 1 species